rnacentral:pre_miRNA from 1 species
UAUCUACUCCCUCCGUCCGGAAAUACUUGUCGAAAAAAUGCAUAAAAAUGGAUGUAUCUAGAACUAAAAUACGUCUAGAUACAUCCAUUCCUCCGACGAGUAUUUUCGGACGGAGGGAGUAUUUU